rnacentral:rRNA from 1 species
GACGAACGCUGGCGGCGUGCUUAACACAUGCAAGUCGAACGGAAAGGCCCCUUUGGGGGUACUCGAGUGGCGAACGGGUGAGUAACACGUGAGUAACCUGCCCUUGACUUCGGGAUAACUACAGGAAACUGGGGCUAAUACCGGAUAGGAAUCCUUGCUGCAUGGUGGGGGUUGGAAAGCUUCGGCGGUUUUGGAUGGACUCGCGGCCUAUCAGCUUGUUGGUGGGGUAGUGGCUUACCAAGGCUUUGACGGGUAGCCGGCCUGGGAGGGCGACCGGCCACAUUGGGACUGAGAUACGGCCCAGGCUCCUACGGGAGGCAACAGUGGGGAAUAUUGCACAAUGGGCGGAAGCCUGAUGCAGCAACGCCGCGUGCGGGAUGACGGCCUUCGGGUUGUAAACCGCUUUCAGCAGGGGCGAAGCUUGUGGUGACGGUACCUGCAGAAGAAGCACCGGCUAACUACGUG